rnacentral:rRNA from 1 species
GACGAACGCUGGCGGCGUGCCUAAUACAUGCAAGUAGAACGCUGAAGAGAGGAGCUUACUCUUCUUGGAUGAGUUGCGGACGGGUGAGUAACGCGUAGGUAACCUGCCUUGUAGCGGGGGAUAACUAUUGGAAACGAUAGCUAAUACCGCAUAACAAUGGAUGACACAUGUCAUUUAUUUGAAAGGGGCAAUUGCUCCACUACAAGAUGGACCUGCGUUGUAUUAGCUAGUAGGUGAGGUAAUGGCUCACCUAGGCGACGAUACAUAGCCGACCUGAGAGGGUGAUCGGCCACACUGGGACUGAGACACGGCCCAGACUCCUACGGGAGGCAGCAGUAGGGAAUCUUCGGCAAUGGGGGCAACCCUGACCGAGCAACGCCGCGUGAGUGAAGAAGGGUGUCGGAUCGUAAAGCUCUGUUGUAAGUCAAGAACGGGUGUGAGAGUGGAAAGUUCACACUGUGACGGUAGCUUACCAGAAAGGGACGGCUAACUACGUG